rnacentral:lncRNA from 1 species
GUCUGUGGAGCAAAGCCUUCAGGAGGAGAACAACUUCCUAACAGCUCAAAGGGGUGCGAGGAUGCAGAGAGGAGAAAAUCCGGGAAUGGUGUAUAAUGUAGGGGGGAGGGGGCUUUUACUGGCCUCCAUCUCUGCACCCUUCCAUCCAGCUCCCCAGGACCAUCAGAAUUCCAUCCCACCCCCCAGUGACCUCAGGGAAGACAGGGUUAGAGUCAGUCCUCUACACAGUUUUAAAGGUGGGAAAGGGCAUUUUUCUCAAGCCCCUUUGGAAUGAACUCCCUGAACCUGAGCAGGUUGGUGCCAUGCCUAAAACCUUCAGAAAUGGAGAACAGAUAGAUGAGGAGCUAGGACCUUGACCCAUUUUCUGGGUGAGGAGCUGAGGUAGAGGGGAUGGCUUGCCUGGGGUGUGGGGGUGGGGUGGGGACUUCAUGCUUCCAUUCCUGGGCAGAGGCCAUCACUUCCCAGCCCCCUCCUGUCCCUGGUUGAGCUCAAGGUUUAGCUGCAGAAACUGAGGGACACCAGGUCCCUUGGAAUGAAGCUCUGGGGACCACGAACUCAGGGACCUUGGGGACUUUGUUAUUGGACAUAAGUUUAUUUCUAGAAAGGACCCAUUAGCAAAUGGGAAAACUGAGGUCAGGGAGAGUAUCUCUGAGCAGACCUAAUAACUGCAGGAUCGAAUAUUGGGAUGGGGACUUGGUGUCCUGAGAAGUGACUGGAGCGGUCCCUGCUAAGACUUGGGGAGGCAUAGGGUGUUCCUGGGGUGACCUGUCCAGCCAUCUUGCCCCUCUAUUCUGUUAAGUGGUUCCUUGCUGUCAAGGGGCCUAGUUCUUCCUUCCCCUCCCCUCAUCCCGUUUACCACCACCCCCCUUACAAGGAGGGAACAGAUUCCUUUCUUCCAUGCACCACAGCUGCAGCCAGGCAAUUUCCCUAAUCCCUGGAAACAGGUGCGGAGGGAUUCUCAGCCCCCUGGGGAUGAGGGGCAUUCAGGAAGGUGGCUGAUUUAGAAGCCACAUGAGUUCCCAUCCACCUCUGGCCCCAUCUCUGAAAUGGGAGGGUUGCCUUGGAUUAGCAUUUUCGAAAGUGGGCUCUGCAGCACAGAGGGCAAGGGGGAUGUGGGGAGAGUUCCAAAGCCAAGCAAACUUGGGAAGCAUUGUGUGAACACUCCCUUUUGAAGAGUUACAGGGCUCACGACACUUUUUGAGAUGCUAACAAUUCCAGCAUUCAAGAAAAUGAGUUUAGGGGAGUUCCCGUCGUGACGCAGUGGAAACAAAUCUGACUAGGAACCAUGAGGUUGAGGGUUCAGUCCCUGGCCUUGCUCAGUGGGUUGAGGAUCUGGCGUUGCCAUGAACUGUGGUGUAGGUCAGACUCGGCUCAGAUCUGAUGUUGUUGUGGCUGUGGCGUAGGCUAGUGGCUUCAGCUCCAAUUUGACCCAUAACCUAGGAACCUCCAUAUGCCUCGAGCACGGCCCUAAAAAGCAAAAAAAAAAAAAAAAAAAGAAAGAAAAAAAAG